GGGGUUUAAAGAUUGAGAAAUUUCGUGUUCUCUGCCCAGACAACCGGAAUUCCGGUUGGUUCAUCCGGAAUUCCGGUUGGAGUUCAUCGGGAAAUGCUGAAUUUUGUUUCGGCCAUAACUUUUGACUCGGGACUCCGUUUGGGAUGUUCUUUAUACCGUUAGAAAGCUCUUUUCGAGCUCUAUGUGAUUAUAUAUAUUUGAAAUGCCAUGAAUUUAUUUUAUGAAUAUGAAAUCAGGGGUUAACCCUAUUUGUGAAAAUCCCAGCUUGUGUGACUAGGAUUACCGGCACCUGGUCAGGAGCACCCGGGGAUUCAGAAUCUCUGCCUUUGCGGGACAACAGGAAAGGGUAAGUCAGUGGCUGAUCAACCAUGAGUUUGAGGAGCAAGAUGAAGAAUGUACAUGUUCAAGCCAUAUCAGACCAAGCGGGUUAAGGGUCUAUCAGUGAUGAACUUUUGAAUUCUAUUUUGCCGUUUAGGUCGGCUAGAAAUAAAUGACUUGUAAUAGCGUUUGUAAAUAUUUUUGGGAUCCCAACUAUUUUAAAAGUUUUAAAUAUAUUACAAGUUUAUUUUCUUUCUGUUUAAUAUAAAAGUUUAAAUUCUGCGCUA